AGGCAUUAAAAUAUUGCAAACUGUUCAAGAUUUCUGCAACUUCUAUCAGUUUCAUAUACAAUCAAGCUUUAAAAUAUUGCAAACUGUUCAAGAUUUCUCCGACUUUUAUCAGUUUCAAAUACAAUCAAGAUAAAUAUGCCACUCGACAAAGAAGAAAAGAGGAAACGAGCAAAUUUAGCUUCUAAAAAUGGCGCUCAAAUCUAUCAGAAGCUAGAAAAAUAGAAAUAAAUGAGAAAAAUCGAAUUGCAUACCGAACAAAAAAACUCAAACAAACAGAAGCCACUCAUUACCAAAUAGGUUAGUUUAUAUUGUGGAAUAAUUCAUACUACACAAUCAAUAUAAAUAAAAAUAAGUUUUAGUUACCUUUGCUAAAUUGAUAAUCUCAUUUUCAGAUAAAACACCAACAAUUGAUGAUCGUUACCAAAAUAGGAGUACCAUAUUUAAAGUUGGUUAGUUAUAUAUACCCUUAUCUCUUACUCAAUUUUUAUGUAUCUACAAAAAUUAUUAACCUAGUAAAUAAACUAUUAUAGGAUCUACUUCUUCGCAACAAGAACAGAACAGAUCUUAUAAUGGACCAUAUAUACACACCAGUCUUCUUAUACACCAAAAUUUAAAUGAUAUACCAAAUGAACUAACAUUAUUACCACAACCUUCUAUUUGCAAACAUUAUCAAGCAAAGCGAUUUACCCAU